rnacentral:rRNA from 1 species
AAGACCUUGCACUUUUGGAGCGGCCGAUGUCUGAUUAGCUAGUUGGUGGGGUAAUGGCCUACCAAAGCUUCGAUCAGUAGCUGGUCUGAGAGGACGGCCAGCCACACUGGGACUGAGACACGGCCCAGACUCCUACGGGAGGCAGCAGUGGGGAAUUUUGGGCAAUGGGCGCAAGCCUGAUCCAGCCAUGCCGCGUGAGUGAAGAAGGCCUUCGGGUUGUAAAGCUCUUUCAGCCGGGAAGAAAAGGUUGCGACUAAUAAUCGCAAUCCAUGACGGUACCGAAAGAAGAAGCACCGGCUAACUACGUGCCAGCAGCCGCGGUAAUACGUAGGGUGCGAGCGUUAAUCGGAAUUACUGGGCGUAAAGGGUGCGCAGGCGGUUUUGUAAGUCAGAUGUGAAAUCCCCGGGCUUAACCUGGGAACU